UCCAAAACAAUUAUAAUUUAGAUCUACUGUUCCAUGGUAACCGUGGCCGGUCACAUGAUAUACUGGAUCAUGUGACCGGCCGCGUCAGCUUCACACAACGUGCCCUCAAGCUAACCUUACUACCGUGACGUGCCCUGCUGCUGCGGAUAACCACUGCGACUCCCGAUUCCAGAAAAAGUAAACAACUGGUCAGAGAUGCCUCGUAAGGAGAGGAGGUUAAAACAAAAACAAAAGGAGCUGUGUGAGGCUGCAAAAGGCAGUGGAUCACUCACCAGCUGGAUGACAAAGAGCACAAAAGGUAAGAUCAACACAUGCACCAGUUAUUUAUAGCCAUAUUCAGUUAGAGAAAACAACAGUAACAAACAAAAUUUCAAUGUUGUUCUGUUACAUU